rnacentral:lncRNA from 1 species
CCAAAGGAUCGUAGCACUCUCAUUCUCCGCUCAAACAUCAGAGGUCCCAAACUCCCCCACAGAACCCCUGACAGAAGAAUAAUUUUAGAAGAGAGCGGUGUGUAUCUCCAUCUAGAAAGUUUAUGAACUAUGUCCCACUGAAUGUUGCCUGAGCACAAGUGCUAAUGGAGAUCAAAGAUCGGAUCUCCAAGGUAGAAUGACAACAAAUACUGCCUGUACCACUAUGGCCAUAGACAUGACAUCUAAGAUUGCAUCUAGCUUCGGGAUGAGAUAGAAGAGCUCAUUCGAUGUGGGCACCU